GACGAACGCUGGCGGCGUGCCUAAUACAUGCAAGUAGGACGCAGUUGCGAACGGGUGAGUAACGCGUAGGUAACUGCCUAUUAGAGGGGGAUAACUAUUGGAAACGAUAGCUAAUACCGCAUACUAGUAGAUGGACCUGCUGUGUAUUAGCUAGUAGGUAGGGUAAUGGCCUACCUAGGAAACGAUACAUAGCCGACCUGAGAGGGGGAGCGUGUACAUGGGGACUGAGAAACGGCCCAGACUCCUACGGGAGGAAGAGGUAGGGAAUCUUCGGCAAUGGGGGGAACCCUGACCGAGCAACGCCGCGUGAGUGAAGAAGGUUUUCGGAUCGUAAAGCUCUGUUGUUAAGGAAGCGGUACUUAACCAGAAAGGGACGGCUAACUACGUGCCAGCAGCCGCGGUAAUUC
rnacentral:rRNA from 1 species